UCCAAUUUGUGAUAGUCUGUGAUUCCGUCAUUCUGUAAGUUCCUGGGGACAGCAAGGCACCAGAUGGGGGUUGUGGGGAAAGGGCUGGGAGGGCCAGCCCCUGCCCAGCACCAAGCAUCCCCCAAAUACUGUCCAUUGCACCCGGUGAUGAUGCCAGAUAUUGCCAUCAUCCCACACAUUUAUCACUCUCUGUGUCAGCUGGGCAGCUCGGAACGCUCCAUUCCGCAGGCAGAGUCCGUCCCUUGGUUGUGCUUACACAACGAGCCCUCAGACACUGAAAUUAAAGAAGACAGAAAGAAAAAAGAAACCAAAAAAACAAACAAAAAAACCCCACAGAGAAGCACAUUCCUAAAAUACUCGCCCCAACCAGAAGCGCGGUUGCAGCCCUGCAGCUGUUGCCAGGACUCCAGAGGUACCCAUGCAAACACCACGGCCCUCAGAUUCAGGCAGACCAUCCCCUGCUGCCACCCUGGCUGCAGGAAGGGCUGCAUCCUGCUGCUCCCUGCUGCUCCCACGGUCCUUCCGCCCCGGUGCUGACUCGGCAUGAGCAGCUUUUAUCACGGGGAAAAAACAAUCGGCAUCCUUCCUUCCAGACGUCGGAUCCGGCUGUUUCCCGGAUAGGUCUCUCCUUUGCAAAGGGACUGAAAUAAGGUGUGGGGCUGCACAGCCUUCUCCAACACUGCUGGAUGACCAACAAGUCCUAAUUGGGUGUUUGGAGCACACUGCACCUGAAUGCCACACACCAGGAUGGGUGUGGGGACGGAUGGAGCGCUGCAGACCCACAGGGGAAAGAGCUCCAACAUUGGGGCUCAGAGCUGCUGCUGGAGCUGCAACUUCCAGGCUGGGGAGGGCACAGUGUGUGUACCCAAAGCCUGAGACUGGGGCUCUGCACUGGUGACAGGGGAUGAGAACAAGCAGACCUGAGAGCAGGGCACUGCAGCAUCACAUACAGAUGAGACAGGAGGUGCUUACCACCCCCUCAAACAGGAUACUCAUCCCAGGGCAAAGCACUCUUCCUGCACAGAGCCAACCCUCUGCAGGGUCCCAGAGCCCCCCUGGGACAGUCC
rnacentral:lncRNA from 1 species